rnacentral:rRNA from 1 species
UACGUAGGGUGCGAGCGUUGUCCGGAAUUAUUGGGCGUAAAGAGCUCGUAGGCGGUCUGUCGCGUCGGAUGUGAAAACCCGGGGCUUAACCCCGGGCCUGCAUUCGAUACGGGCAGACUCGAGUGUGGUAGGGGAGACUGGAACUCCUGGUGUAGCGGUGGAAUGCGCAGAUAUCAGGAGGAACACCGAUGGCGAAGGCAGUUCUCUGGGCCGUAACUGACGCUGAGGAGCGAAAGCGUGGGGAGCGAACAGG